AUGUUGCUCUCCAACCUUCUGAAGGUGGUCCUGGCUUCAAUGUGGCUAGGAUCCAGUAUUUCCAAGAAGGUAACUCAAGUCCAACCAGCAAUGUCAGUGCAGGAGAAGGAGGCUGUGACCCUGGACUGCACAUAUGACACCAGUGAUCCAACUUACAACCUCUUCUGGUACAAGCAGCUGGGCAGUGGGGCAAUGAUUUUCCUUAUUCGUCAGGACUCCUAUAACCAGAAAAAUGCCACAGAAGGUCGCUACUCACUGAAUUUUCAGAAAGCAAACCGUUCCAUCAACCUUGUCAUUUCACCUUCACAGCUGGAGGACUCUGCAGUGUAUUUCUGUGCCCUAGUGAGCCCACAGUGAGAGGUGUGUAGGAAGGAGGUGAACCAAAACCUCAAGGCUCUGCUUGACGCAUCCACCUGCUGUAGGGACCAAGGCCAGGAAUUUUCCACACAGGAAGUGGCAAGGGCUGGGUUACCACAGGUGAUGGCAGUGUAUGAGGGAAAACUAUGAAAAUACCUCCUUAGUUCCAUAGGCUGUAUGUAGAGUUAUUAUUCAUUGAAAACAUCCACAUCCUUUAAAUUUUAAGUUGAAAUUAUUUAUUGAAGACAAGGAACAACCACAACAAACAAUUUUCCAUUUGGUGAGAGAUUGA